rnacentral:ncRNA from 2 species
AACCGAACAGCGGUCCCAGGUGCCCGCCGAGGCGUGUGCGGAGGCGGGAGAAUAGGGAAGCCGGUGCAAGUCCGGCACGGACCCGCCACUGUGACGGGGCGUGAAGCCCCGAAGUCAGGAGACCUGCCUGGGAUCCCUGCGACGU